CAUUAAGAAGCUAUACUGGGAAAAGCGACAGCCUUUUAAGCUGUAGAUAGGUGACUCCCUUCCACCCUUAGUGA
rnacentral:tRNA from 1 species